GACGAACGCUGGCGGCGUGCUUAACACAUGCAAGUCGAACGGAAAGGCCCCUUUGGGGGUACUCGAGUGGCGAACGGGUGAGUAACACGUGCGUAACCUGCCCUUGACUUCGGGAUAACUUCAGGAAACUGGGGCUAAUACCGGAUAGGAAUCCUUGCUGCAUGGUGGGGGUUGGAAAGCUUCGGCGGUUUUGGAUGGACUCGCGGCUUAUCAGCUUGUUGGUGGGGUAGUGGCUUACCAAGGCUUUGACGGGUAGCCGGCCUGAGAGGGCGACCGGCCACAUUGGGACUGAGAGACGGCCCAGACUCCUACGGGAGGCAGCAGUGGGGAAUAUUGCACAAUGGGCGGAAGCCUGAUGCAGCAACGCCGCGUGCGGGAUGACGGCCUUCGGGUUGUAAACCGCUUUCAGCAGGGGCGAAGCUUGUGGUGACGGUACCUGCAGAAGAAGCACCGGCUAACUACGUG
rnacentral:rRNA from 1 species